rfam:Nomascus leucogenys chromosome 9, whole genome shotgun sequence.
GCUGGUGCAGUGGCAUGUGCUUGUAGUCCCAGCUACUCAGGAGGCUUAGGCGGGAGGAAUGCUUGAGCCCAGUAGUUCUGGACUGCAAUGCGCUAUGCUGAUCCUGUGUCUGCACUAAGUUGGACCUCAAUAUUUUGACCUCCUGGAAGCAAGGGGGACCACCAGGUUGCCUAAGGAAGGGUGAACUGGCUCAGGUUGGAAUUAGAGCAGGUCAAAACUCCUGUGCUGAUCAGUAGUGGGAUCAUGCCUAUGAAUAGCCACUGCAGUCCAGCCUGGGCAACAUAGUGAGACCCCUUCUCUU